rnacentral:rRNA from 1 species
GAUGAACGCUGGCGGCGUGCCUAAUACAUGCAAGUCGAGCGAACGGACGAGAAGCUUGCUUCUCUGAUGUUAGCGGCGGACGGGUGAGUAACACGUGGAUAACCUACCUACAAGACUGGGAUAACUUCGGGAAACCGGAGCUAAUACCGGAUAAUAUUUUGAACCGCAUGGUUCAAAAGUGAAAGACGGUCUUGCUGUCACUUAUAGAUGGAUCCGCGCUGCAUUAGCUAGUUGGUAAGGUAACGGCUUACCAAGGCAACGAUGCAUAGCCGACCUGAGAGGGUGAUCGGCCACACUGGAACUGAGACACGGUCCAGACUCCUACGGGAGGCAGCAGUAGGGAAUCUUCCGCAAUGGGCGAAAGCCUGACGGAGCAACGCCGCGUGAGUGAUGAAGGUCUUCGGAUCGUAAAACUCUGUUAUUAGGGAAGAACAUAUGUGUAAGUAACUGUGCAUAUCUUGACGGUACCUAAUCAGAAAGCCACGGCUAACUACGUG